rnacentral:rRNA from 1 species
UACGUAGGGACCAAGCGUUGUUCGGAUUUACUGGGCGUAAAGCGCUCGUAGGCGGCUCAGUAAGUCGGGUGUGAAACCUCCAGGCUCAACCUGGAGACGCCACCCGAUACUGCUGUGGCUUGAGUCCGGUAGGGGAGCGUGGAAUUCCUGGUGUAGCGGUGAAAUGCGCAGAUAUCAGGAGGAACACCGGUGGCGAAGGCGCCACUCUGGGCCGAAACUGACGCUGAGGAGCGAAAGCGUGGGUAGCAAACAGG